UUCUGGCUCUUCAGCUCAGACUAAAGUUAAACAUGGAGUUCCACGGGUUCUGUCUUAGGACCUCUACUCUUCACAUUUUACAUGCUUCCUAGGGAACAUCAUCAGAAAACACUCCAUUAACUUCCACUGUUAUGCAGAUGAGACAUAAAUCUGUUGAUCAGUGAA